AAGUAAAUUUCUCUAAAUGGUUCCAAUACAUCAUAAGGAGAUGGCUCUUGGCAUACGUUUGGCAUAAGAAUUUUCUUAGUAAAAGAAAAGCUUAGGUAGAAUUAAUAGCUAAUACUAAUAACAUAACAUAAUUGGUUUUAUAUAGACAUAGUAGAGAGCAAAUUUCUUUCUAAAAUCUUCCAUUUAGAAUUCCAAGCCCCUUAACAUUCGUAUUUCUGUCAGUUUUCAAUAUAGAUUUUAUGUGUUCAUUGUAUGCAAACUAUAGCCAAAAUAUGCAUUUCUAUUCCUGAUGCUACUGUGGGUGUCAAGGUUUAGUUUAAACCUUUUGUUUUUGUAACACACUAUAAGAAGUAUAAUUCAGCUCUCAAUGAAAUAUUAUUCCUGAUCUUCCUUGUUAGUAAAAUAGUAAAUUAGUUUGUUAUCUAUUAAUUUUAAGAAAAUGGUUAGAAAAAGAAAAAAAUAAUAAAUGACUUACCUCUAAGUAUGUAUAACUCCAUGUAAAGCAGCUAAACUAAAAGCUUACCACAAUUUUAAGAAAAACUAAAAUUCGACAUCAUUUAAUUUCUUUUUGCAUUCCAUUUAGGAAAUGUUUGUUACUGAGGCUGAUAAAAUAAAUUCAUUAUUUAGUCAUGUCAUUUAUAAUGCGGUCUCAUGAUACUGGCUCUGAGGAUUAAAUAUGCACUUAAAGACAGACUAGACUACCAAAUAAUAUAUAAAACAUUUAUGAACAUUUUAUGCUUGCUUAGACAGCUGAUCUAUUAAACUUGUGACAUUUUUAUUUAAAAAGAAUAAACAAGGAAAUCAAUGGUAUUAUUUUAUCCUUAAAUGGGUUAAGAAAUUAUGAGUUAUCUUUAGAAAUCUACCAAUGUUAGAUGUGUGCAUAAUUCUUUUUCAAUGUAGCUGGGGGCCAAGGAAGUGGUUAAUUAAUAUCUGUACUGCAAAUGCCUUAAGUGGAUACCUAUUAAAA